rnacentral:rRNA from 1 species
AGCGAACGCUGGCGGCAGGCUUAACACAUGCAAGUCGAACGCCCCGCAAGGGGAGUGGCAGACGGGUGAGUAACACGUGGGAACGUACCCUUUGGUUCGGAAUAACCUGGGGAAACUCAAGCUAAUACCGGAUAAGCCCUUAUGGGGAAAGGUUUACUGCCGAAGGAUCGGCCCGCGUCUGAUUAGCUAGUUGGUGAGGUAACGGCUCACCAAGGCGACGAUCAGUAGCUGGUCUGAGAGGAUGAUCAGCCACACUGGGACUGAGACACGGCCCAGACUCCCACGGGAGGCAGCAGUGGGGAAUAUUGGACAAUGGGGGCAACCCUGAUCCAGCCAUGCCGCGUGAGUGAUGAAGGCCUUAGGGUUGUAAAGCUCUUUUACCCGGGACGAUAAUGACUGUACCGGGAGAAUAAGCCCCGGCUAACUUCGUGCCAGCCGCCGCCGUAA